AGAAAAUAUAAGUACUAUAUACGCCUCACAGACAGGUUCAAAAAAGCAUUUGUUAGCAGUGAUUUGCCAAGUUUCAUACUCUGUUGAGAAUAUUAAGAGCCCAUAUCCAAAGUUGGAAGGCUAAAGCCUGGUUAAUGGGUUUAGGAAGGUACUAUUCUCCACAGGGGAGGGCUUCAGAAGAGUAAUUGUCCCUGUUCUCAUGCCAUUAGCAUUACGGCAUAGA
rnacentral:lncRNA from 1 species